AGCUAUACUCAUGCAUCUUGAUUUGUAUAAAUUACGAAAGAAGUGAUUAAAUCUAAAACUAUGAUUAAUUACCAAGAACCACAAAGAAGGCGGAGGUGAUGAUCUGGAAGGAGGAGCAAUCGAGGUGAAAAGGAGGUUCCAGUAAGAGAUGAGAAGAGUGAGAGUCCAUAGUAAAAUUGCAUGGGCAUUAGAAAAUGCAAUGCCUCCUUCAUCCUCAUGUAAAUUUCUUGAAUUAAAACUGAGACGGAGCGUGUACGAGUGGUGAUAGGACAGUGAAUCAGAGAGCUUUGUGGGCUAAGGAAGGGGGAUUUCACUUUCAGUUUAGAGCUCCCUCCGCUCCUGCCAUUUAUACGUUUCAGUACUCGGAGUGGUUAUCGUACUGCUGCCACCUCAUCAACGUUAAUCCGAAGGCUGAAUAGAGGACACGCGUUUAUUGGUGAAAAAAAAAAAAUUAACUGUGUUUCGAAAAUGAAAUAAGUAUUGGGUUCGUUCAAGGUACAUCAAUAAUAGACUACGGCUUAGUUUAGCAUUGCUGUGAGAAUACAAAGCUGUUGUGAAAAAACUAUACUUUUAAAAUAAUCAACGGUCAUAAACCUCAAUUAAAUGUUUGGUCAACUUAGAAGUUAUCUAGAUACUUGAUAAGAAUGAAUGAAUACUACUUAAUUGAUCAAGAGGUUGUUCCUAUGCCGUUAGAUUUCAAUCCGCGCUGGCAAGUCAAAUUGAAAGAAAGGGAUAUCUGCAAAACAUUAUUUAAUGCCUAAAUCAUCACUGAAUUGUUUAGGCUAUAAUAAGUGGAGUAGGGAUUGAUUGUUUUCCUUGAUUGUUCACCUUACUAAGUAGGCAAUAGCGAAUUUGCUAUCCUAAGUUACACCUUGGUGUCAAUUUGUUAUCUUAGGUUUCCACAAUUAGCCAAUUUGCUAUACUAAGUAUUAUUUUUGCCAAUUUACUAACUUUUGUUUUCAAAAUUGGCCAAUCUACCUCCUUUUCGUCAUAUUAAUUUGUCUACUUCUUCGUCCCAAUGUUGAUUAAUUUUGAAAAUAUAAGGUAACAAAUGGCUAAUUUUGA
rnacentral:lncRNA from 1 species